UACGUGAGGGCAAGCGUUGUCCGGAAUUAUUGGGCGUAAAGAGCGUGUAGGCGGCCAGAUAAGUCCGCUGUGAAAUCUCGAGGCUCAACUUCGAGCUGUCGGUGGAAACUAUCUGGCUAGAGUCCGGAAGAGGAGAAUGGAAUUCCUGGUGUAGCGGUGAAAUGCGCAGAUAUCAGGAAGAACACCCGUGGCGAAGGCGGCUCUCUGGGACGGUACUGACGCUGAGACGCGAAAGCGUGGGGAGCGAACAGG
rnacentral:rRNA from 1 species